CAAUAAAAACAAGAGAAGUCUCUCUCACUCACUGGAGACCUACAAGCCAGUAAACAAAAAGAGCGUUACCUCCACGCGACCACCACCAACGAGAAACAAAGAAAGACCCUUCCUUUUUUAAAAAUAUUCAAUCGCCCACCGUUUUUUCAUUCACCUAGAGAGAGAGAGAGUGAAAGAGAGAAAGAGAGAAAGUAGAGAUGCAGUCGCUGCAGGAGAAGGCAUCGGCAUGGAGCGGCGUGGAUCAGGCUGACGCAUUCGCCAUAGACGAGUCCAAUCUGUUCGAAAAGCUCGGUCUUCAGAGCUUCAUCAACCUCUCCACCAACUUCUACACCAGGGUAUAUGAUGACGAAGAAGAAUGGUUUCGAUCCAUGUUUGCGAACUCUAAGAAAGAAGAUGCCAUUCAGAACCAGUAUGAGUUCUUCGUCCAGCGUAUGGGAGGCCCUCCUCUGUAUUCUCAAAGGAAAGGUCAUCCUGCCCUGAUUGGUCGUCACCGUCCAUUUCCGGUGACUCAUGAAGCUGCAGAGAGAUGGCUGCAGCAUAUGCAAAAUGCUAUGGACGAGUCGGUCGACAUUGACCAGGACUCGAAAGUCAAGAUGAUGAAUUUCUUCAGGCAUACUGCUUUCUUCCUUGUGGCUGGAAACGAGUUGCAGAAUCAGAAUCAGAAUCAGAACAACCAAGUUGCGUGUAAACACGCUGCCAAUAAACCAGCAGAAGAGUAAUUUUAACAACUGCAUUCUUGUUGUAUUUUUACGUUUCAUUCAAAGUACACAGAUUCCAGGAAACUUGCUCUUUCUAUGCUCUAUUUCAAUCUUCCUUGUGCUUGAAGAUGGAAAGUGGAGAGGGAAAUUUGCGUAUGCUUUGUUCAGAGGGCUCUCCUUAUCAGUUUUAAAGAGGCUGUAAAGUUACAACCAUUACCAGAUUAGUUUUAGUUAGACAGUGACUUUUAACAUGACCAAAAUCAUAUGGACAGAUUAGAAAAGGUAAUUUCUCUUUUUGACUGUAAAUAUAUACUUCUUUAUACGUCCUCAUUGCUCCAAAAGAGUAAAUAUAAUUCUUGAUUAUG